UUCCUACGGGGGGCUGCAGUGGGGAAUAUUGGACAAUGGGCGCAAGCCUGAUCCAGCCAUGCCGCGUGGGUGAUGAAGGCCCUAGGGUUGUAAAGCCCUUUCGGCGGGGAAGAUAAUGACGGUACCCGCAGAAGAAGCCCCGGCUAACUUCGUGCCAGCAGCCGCGGUAAUACGAAGGGGGCUAGCGUUGCUCGGAAUCACUGGGCGUAAAGCGCACGUAGGCGGACUCUUAAGUCGGGGGUGAAAUCCUGGAGCUCAACUCCAGAACUGCCUUCGAUACUGAGAGUCUUCGAGUUCGGGAGAGGUGAGUGGAACUGCGAGUGUAGAGGUGAAAUUCGUAGAUAUUCGCAAGAACACCAGUGGCGAAGGCGGCUCACUGGCCCGAUACUGACGCUGAGGUGCGAAAGCGUGGGGAGCAAACAGGAUUAGAUACCCCAGUAGUC
rnacentral:rRNA from 1 species